GCUCCAGGAACACAGCUCCCGGAGCGAUUGUUUCAAAGUUGCUUGCUCGGAAGGGCCCUCCUGAGCAAACAACAGAGGGUGCCCAAAGUAAUAAUUGGAUUUAAUAGAAGGAGCUUACACGAAAGAAGAGCUGAACGCUGCUGUGGUCGUGUGCUGGGGGCCGCCCCAACUCCAACUGCAGGACCCCGGGCGUCCGCCUUCCGACUCCAGUGAUGAUUCUUCCUGCGGUCUGAUGGAGAUCCUACACAGUUAACUUUGUAUCCAAGGAUCUAUUGCCAAGAAAUUUGGAGCUCAGUUUCAAAUGUAAGUAUUCUGGGUCCAAAUUUUCUGCCCUUAAAAUAGCUGAAUUGUAUUUUAUUGGGAAAUAGAAAUAUAGAAUUCAAGAGUUAUUAAAUAUUAUAAAGUCUAACACUCUAAAUUAAUACACAAGGAGACAGAAAGUUUCAAUGACAAAUGCCGUACAUAAAACUGCUUCGUAUCAGAGGCAGAAAGAGAGCUCGCUUGUCCUACAGUUUAUGUAACACAGAGCUGUCCAGCUCAUUCUACGUAUGAAAUUGAUAUACAAUCAGGACAGAUUUCCCCUCCCAUAAAUUUUAUGCCACUUGAUUGUGUCUUUGUUAUUCGUUAGCAACAGUUUAUGUAAGAGAACAUUUUGGAGCCAAUUCAAAUCUGCUAUUAAUUAUUUCACUGAAUAUUAAGAAAAUUGAGAUUAUAGUAUUUAGCUAGGAGAUAUUAACAUGUCUUUUUUUUUUUUCUUGUUUUCUAAAUCAUAAAUACCCUCAUUUAAUCAUCUGCAUUUAAAAGGGGGAUUUGGACUAGAAACUAUAAUUGGAAGCCUGUGGCCCAGGAGAGCUUAGCCUAUUUAUUAAAAGUAUCACUGCGUAUUCAGAGUUAUAAAACUGAGUUCUAAGGAGGCCUAAUAUUCUGCAGCUGGGAGUGGAAGGGCAAAAGGUGAAUUGUAUUUUUUAAGCCUGUCACUCUGAAAACUCCCUGCUUCAAAACUCAAUGCAUUUCCAGGAUUGUCGACUUCACAGCAGCAGUGAAGCGGGAGAUGCAAAGGCAUCUUUGGAAGCAGCUACACGCAGAAGUGCUUAAUAUCUCCCCAGGCUUGUGAGAACUUGUUUGUCUGGCAGGUAUUUCCAAGCACUCUCUGUUCUUUGGACAAUGGAGUUGGCAAUCUGGAGAUUGUAACUUCAUAAUAGAGAGUCUUUAGGGAGAGAAGCUUCCAUUUAAAUUCAUUUAAAUGGAUAAGUAUUAGAUAACUUCCCUGAAAAAAUGUUAACAUAGUUAUUAAAUAUAUUCAAGUUCCAUUCCGAUCUCAUUCUCUGAACAAUUGAACUCUUUUUCACUGGGCAUUAUGCUGCAAUUUUACGGUAGGUUAAAUGAUAUCAAGUGCAUUGAAGUUAUUCUUAAAAUGCCUCUCAGUACUUCUUAUAUAGUACUAAAUGGUUAAUCAAUGAAUAAAAUUUCUGUUUUCCAGCCAUUUUUGAAAUAGCACAUGGCACAUAACUGAAAAAGCCCACGUGACUAACCUAUAUUCUGGGUACCAUUGUAUCACAAUUGAAUUCUGUUGUGAUUUUAGUCGAAGCCCUUAACUUCAUAAAUAUAUCACGAAAAGCCUGUAUCAAGAUCAUUGGUCAUUGCUGCUUGCGAGAAAUAGAAACACAGGUGAAGUAGAAAAAAAGGCCUGUUUAGUGAAAAUAAAGAAGACAAACACAAGACAAAAUUAUUUUAGAUUUAGCUGGGCUUUGUGGGGAAUUGAUUCAAUUGAGGAUUUAAAGGUCAGAAAAUGAAAUCAUUUAUGAAUUAAGAUGCUUAUAACCACACAAAUUAUAUGCCCAAGUACUAUGGCUAGAAUAAAUAAGAAUUUUUUAAUCUAACAUACCAACAAAUUUAAUGAUACUUCAGUUGUAUAUAUGUUAAUUCAAAACUUAACACAGUCACCCGAGACCAAGUCUUUUUUCCUGUUUCAGUCUACUAUCUUCAGUGUCUGGCCGUGGUCCUUUGGUUUAUCACCUCCUGGUUACAAGGCUGCUGUAGGGCCUGAACACCAUGUCUUUACUUAGCAUCGUCCAAAAA
rnacentral:lncRNA from 1 species